AACGAACGCUGGCGGCAGGCUUAACACAUGCAAGUCGAGCGCCCCGCAAGGGGAGCGGCAGACGGGUGAGUAACGCGUGGGAACGUACCUUUUGGUUCGGAACAACUCCGGGAAACUGGAGCUAAUACCGGAUAAGCCCUAACGGGGAAAGAUUUAUCGCCGAAAGAUCGGCCCGCGUCUGAUUAGCUAGUUGGUGAGGUAACGGCUCACCAAGGCGACGAUCAGUAGCUGGUCUGAGAGGAUGAUCAGCCACACUGGGACUGAGACACGGCCCAGACUCGGAGGGGGGGGAGGAGGGGGAAAAGUGGAAGAAUGGGCGCAGGCUUGUGCCAGCCGGGCUGGGGGGGUAAGGAAGGCAUUAGGGUUGGGCAGCUCUUUUGUGCGGGAAAAAAAUGACGGUACCGGAAGAAUCAGCCCCGGCUAACGUCGUGCCAGCGGCCGCGGUAAGAGUGGGAAGAGCAAACGUCUGAAC
rnacentral:rRNA from 1 species